AUUGAACGCUGGCGGCAGGCUUAACACAUGCAAGUCGAGCGGGGGGAGGUAGCUUGCUACCCAACCUAGCGGCGGACGGGUGAGUAAUGCUUAGGAAUCUGCCUAUUAGUGGGGGACAACAUUUCGAAAGGGAUGCUAAUACCGCAUACGCCCUAAGGGGGAAAGCAGGGGAUCUUCGGACCUUGCGCUAAUAGAUGAGCCUAAGUCGGAUUAGCUAGUUGCUGGGGUAAAGGCCUACCAAGGCGACGAUCUGUAGCGGGUCUGAGAGGAUGAUCCGCCACACUGGGACUGGGACACGGCCCAGACUCCUACGGGAGGCAGCAGUGGGGAAUAUUGGACAAUGGGGGGAACCCUGAUCCAGCCAUGCCGCGUGUGUGAAGAAGGCCUUUUGGUUGUAAAGCACUUUAAGCGAGGAGGAGGCUACCGAGAUUAAUACUCUUGGAUAGUGGACGUUACUCGCAGAAUAAGCACCGGCUAACUCUGUGCCAGCAGCCGCCGUAAGAC
rnacentral:rRNA from 1 species